UUUAAAAUUAGUGGUAGAGUAAUGCCGUGCUAAGACGUUAAGUCCUCGGUUCGAAUCUGAUA
rnacentral:tRNA from 1 species